rnacentral:rRNA from 2 species
AGUGGGGAAUAUUGGACAAUGGGCGAAAGCCUGAUCCAGCCAUGCCGCGUGUGUGAAGAAGGUCUUCGGAUUGUAAAGCACUUUAAGUUGGGAGGAAGGGCAGUAAGUUAAUACCUUGCUGUUUUGACGUUACCAACAGAAUAAGCACCGGCUAACUUCGUGCCAGCAGCCGCGGUAAUACGAAGGGUGCAAGCGUUAAUCGGAAUUACUGGGCGUAAAGCGCGCGUAGGUGGUUUUGUAAGUUGGAGGUGAAAUCCCCGGGCUCAACCUGGGAACUGCCUCCAAAACUGCAUGACUAGAGUACGGUAGAGGGUAGUGGAAUUUCCUGUGUAGCGGUGAAAUGCGUAGAUAUAGGAAGGAACACCAGUGGCGAAGGCGACUACCUGGACUGAUACUGACACUGAGGUGCGAAAGCGUGGGGAGCAAA